UCUUGUGUGUGAGCGAGUGGUUGCUGUUUACGAUGUGUUCAUAUAUCGAUUUGUAGUGCUGUAAUGUGAAAAUUAGCGGACUUCAUAGCGGCUCUCUAUUUUCCGUCGUUGUCUUUCGGGCAGCGCCUGUUGUUUCGGUAAAAAUCGAGUUGAAUGAAUCGCCACAGCCCCAACGUAUAUCGCGCAGUGUUGACCAAGUCCAGCAGGAAUUCUGGCAUGGUAUGUGGCUGCACGGAGGAUUCCGAAAAAGAAAAACAACAACAUGGCUAAUAGGAUGUUGCUGCCCAGGGAGUCCUGGCCGAAGAGGUUUACUCAUUCCAGAAGCAAGAAUUGUACAAUUGUAAGGCGAAUGGAAAUAAACUGACAUCGACUGAGAUA